rnacentral:rRNA from 1 species
GAGUCUUAACUGGGCGUUAAGUUGCAGGGUAUAGACCCGAAACCCGGUGAUCUAGCCAUGGGCAGGUUGAAGGUUGGGUAACACUAACUGGAGGACCGAACCGACUAAUGUUGAAAAAUUAGCGGAUGACUUGUGGCUGGGGGUGAAAGGCCAAUCAAACCGGGAGAUAGCUGGUUCUCCCCGAAAGCUAUUUAGGUAGCGCCUCGUGAAUUCAUCUCCGGGGGUAGAGCACUGUUUCGGCAAGGGGGUCAUCCCGACUUACCAACCCGAUGCAAACUGCGAAUACCGGAGAAUGUUAUCACGGGAGACACACGGCGGGUGCUAACGUCCGUCG